UACAGAGGGUGCAAGCGUUGUUCGGAAUUAUUGGGCGUAAAGGGUGCGUAGGCGGUGCGGUAAGUCUGUUGUGAAAUCUCCGGGCUCAACUCGGAGUCUGCAACGGAAACUGCCGUGCUUGAGUAUGGGAGAGGUGAGUGGAAUUCCCGGUGUAGCGGUGAAAUGCGUAGAUCUCGGGAGGAACACCUGUGGCGAAAGCGGCUCACUGGACCAUAACUGACGCUGAUGCACGAAAGCUAGGGGAGCAAACAGG
rnacentral:rRNA from 1 species